GAGGGUGUAGUUUCAGUGGUAGAGUGCAUGCUUUGUAUGCAUGACGCUCUGGGUUCGAUCCCCAGUACCUCCA
rnacentral:tRNA from 1 species